CGGAACUCUCGAGCCUCGGAACCCACAAGUGCGGGCGUGAGGCGCCGGAGGGCAGAGGAGUGGAACACGCUGUCCGCGGACGGACCCGGAAGCACAUGGCGGCGAGCCUCCAGGAGCGGGAGGCGGAACGCAGCCUCGUCUGGCUUCGCUGACGCUCAGAAGGGAACGUGAGGAGUCAGCCCGGCGUGGGCUUGGUGGUCAGCGAGCCGGGGGUCCUGAGAGCCUUGGCAAAGGUCUGACACUAGUCUCAGCUGUUCUGAACCUCAGUCUCAGUUCAGAUCAGUUCAGUUCAGUCGCUCAGUCGUGUCCGACUUUGCGACCCGUGAUGCCAUCAACCAUCUCCUCCUUUGUCGUCCCCUUCUCCUCCUGCCUUCAGUCUUUGCCAGCAUCAGGGUCUUUUCCAGUGAGUCAGCUCUUCACAUCAGGUGGCCAAAGUAUUGGAGUUUCAGCUUCAGCAUCAGUCCUUCCAGUGAACACUCAGGACUGAUCCCCUUUAGGAUGGACUGGUUGGAUCUCCUUGCAGUCUAAGGGACUUUCAAGAGUCUUCUUCAACACCACAGUUCAAAAGCAUCAAUUCUUUGGUGGUCAGCUUUCUUUAUAGUCCCAAUUCUCACAUCCAUACAUGACUACUGGAAAAACCAUAGCCUUGAUGAGACGGACCUUUGUUGGCAAAGUAACGUCUCUGCUUUUUAUAUGCUGUCUAGGUUAGUCAUAACUUUCCUUCCAAGGAGUAAGCGUCUUUUAAUUUCAUGGCUGUAAUCACCAUCUGCAGUGAUUUUGGAGCCCAAAAAAAUAAAGUCAGCCAGUGUUUCCACUAUUUCCCCAUCUAUUUGCCAUGAAGUGAUGGGACCGGAUG
rnacentral:lncRNA from 1 species